UACGUAGGGUGCAAGCGUUAAUCGGAAUUACUGGGCGUAAAGCGUGCGCAGGCGGUGAUGUAAGACAGAUGUGAAAUCCCCGGGCUCAACCUGGGAAUUGCAUUUGAUACUGGAUAGCUAGAGUUCGGCAGAGGGAAGUGGAAUUUCUGGUGUAGCGGUGAAAUGCGUAGAUAUCAGAAGGAACAUCAGUGGCGAAAGCGACUUCCUGGACCAGAACUGACGAUCAGGCACGAAAGCGUGGGGAGCAAACAGG
rnacentral:rRNA from 1 species